rnacentral:rRNA from 1 species
GAUCCUGGCUCAGGAUGAACGCUAGCGGCAGGCUUAACACAUGCAAGUCGAGGGGCAGCAUAAUGGAUAGCAAUAUCUAUGGUGGCGACCGGCGCACGGGUGCGUAACGCGUAUGCAACCUACCUUUAACAGGGGGAUAACACUGAGAAAUUGGUACUAAUACCCCAUAAUAUCAUAGAAGGCAUCUUUUAUGGUUGAAAAUUCCGAUGGUUAGAGAUGGGCAUGCGUUGUAUUCG